UGUGGGAGCGAGCUUGCUCGCGAUGAAGGUAUGUCAGUCGACAUCAUGGUCUGCUGACCCACCGCCAUCGCGAGCAAGCUCGCUCCCACA
rnacentral:misc_RNA from 3 species